GACGAACGCUGGCGGCGUGCUUAACACAUGCAAGUCGAACGGAAAGGCCCCUUCGGGGGUACUCGAGUGGCGAACGGGUGAGUAACACGUGAGUAACCUGCCCUUGACUUCGGGAUAACUUCAGGAAACUGGGGCUAAUACCGGAUAGGAAUCCUUGCUUCAUGGUGGGGGUUGGAAAGCUUCGGCGGUUUUGGAUGGACUCGCGGCUUAUCAGCUUGUUGGUGGGGUAGUGGCUUACCAAGGCUUUGACGGGUAGCCGGCCUGAGAGGGCGACCGGCCACAUUGGGACUGAGAUACGGCCCAGACUCCUACGGGAGGCAGCAGUGGGGAAUAUUGCACAAUGGGCGGAAGCCUGAUGCAGCAACGCCGCGUGCGGGAUGACGGCCUUCGGGUUGUAAACCGCUUUCAGCAGGGGCGAAGCUUGUGGUGACGGUACCUGCAGAAGAAGCACCGGCUAACUACGUG
rnacentral:rRNA from 1 species